GUGCUUGCUUCUUGUCAUCU
rnacentral:misc_RNA from 1 species